CUAUACUAAGCCAAGGAAUUCCCAGGAGAAUGAGGAGGUUGGUACCAUUCACACCACUGAGGUCCCUAAGGUCGGGAAGAAGGCCGCUGUGAUGGAGAGUAAGCCCCAAUCGCCUGCAGACAGGAAGGGGAGGUAGCAGCCCUCUGGUUUGGAGCGAAAGGGCAGUAACCAUUGAUGUGGGGAUUCUUACUCUUCCUCUGAGGCAAACAGCCAAGGGAGAUUGUGGUAAACAUCCCAGAGAGGCCAAAAGGAAAGCAAAAAGCAGAGGGAAUUUUCCGGUAUUCCUUCUAUGGGACUCUGCAGUGUCAUUGUGCCUACCACAACAUGGGGAGCUCACGGCAAAAAAGAAAUGGUGCUAUGAUAGGUUAAGGCAGGGAGAGCUAGGGAGCAUGUUGAUUUGUGGUUGGAAAACAAUUGAGAGUUGAGAGCUAGGGGCACCUGCUGAAAAGCUGCAGCAGCAAGGCGUGAGGUGACUCCAGAGCAGAGGUUCUGGGGUGAUGGCCUAAGCCGGGGCUAGCUGGAGUAUACGGCUGAUGUUUAGAGGUGGCAGAAAUGAGGCUAGGUCAGCGAGAGGGGCCCACCAGGUGCAAACUGCACGGGGGCUGACCAUAGCCUCUUCUCAGCAGACCUGAGCAGAAAGUGUGGGUGGAUGUGAUGGAAGCACAUUCCUGAGGAGGCCUGCAGGGUCCGGGGAACACGCCUAUACCUGUGGGCCCAUGGCUGCUUCCCGCAGCACACUCCAGACGGGCUAGGGAGAGGGCAGGGGAGAAACUCCAAAAGUGGAGCAUUUGCCUCAAAGAAACUGAGUUACACGAAGAAAGACAGCUUGAAACUAAUCAGAUUGAGCUUCCUUUAUCUGGUCCUCUUCCCUCCAGGCCUGCCCUCCAUGACUCUCAACCUUGAAUAAGAAUGGGGGAGUCAGAAGAAAUCCAAAGCAGUUCUAGGAAAUUGAGUGCCACAUUCUUUUCUGCACGCCUGAGAAUUCGAGGACACUUAUGGGGACCUUCCCUGUACACGAAGUUGCUGUAGACAUGAUAAACAGAUGGCCUAGCAUUUGGCCCAGAUCCCAGCUGCAUCCCUGGUCUUGUUUCUGAUGUUUUGCCCUGUGUGGUUGAGUAUGUCUUAUGCACCUUUGCAUGCCCCAUUCCGGACACUACGACUCCCAUGAAUUGUCCAAAGAAAAUAAUUCAAAGGACUCAAAUAGAUGUUAAAGGCUUCAUUCAGCUGAUGAGGUCAGGGAGCACCUGAAGGCCAGCCAGGUAUAAAAUGAUGUGAUCAGACUACCAGAGCUCAAGAAGUCCCCAGUGAUCAAGGCUGAGCAGGAGGAAUGAGCAGAAGCUCACAGAAUUGGCGUGUAUCUCUAGCUUGAUGAAGCAGGCAUUUAAUACAGGGCAUUUCAUGAGAUCUGAGAAAGGAGAGCAGAGUCCCGGUCCCCUAAGAGCAAGCUCUCCCCCUCCUCCACUACUGUGCCCUCCGGCUUCAGAGAGGAGUCAGACUGAACUCUGCAUGUUGUACUAAGGAUCAAAUGAGGAAACCUGUGUGAAAGCACCUCACCCGCUAGAGGCCCUGGAAGCAAUGGCCUUCUCCUGCUUCUCCUGCAAACCCAACUCUCACAGAAGACACAGCCUGCUGAGGGCCCUGGCUCCACUCUCUAUGACCCAAGGGCAACGCGGUAUCACUUCCCUGCCACCAGUCUGGAGCCUGUGAAAGCUGAGUCCAGGAAGAGGAAAUUGGGACACAGACACGCACAGACGGAAAACCAUGUGAAGACACAAGGAGAAGACGGCUGUUUGCAAGCGAAGGAGAGAGGCCUCAGGAGAAACCAGCCCUGCCAACUCCUUGAUCUCAGACUCCAGAACGGAUCAACUUGUCAAUAUCCAUAAAAAAUCCAAUUGGGGGGCUGGCCCCGUGGCCGAGUGGUUAAGUUCACGCGCUCCGCUGCAGGCGGCCCAGUGUUUCGUUAGUUCGAAUCCUGGGCGCAGACAUGGCACUGCUCAUCAGACCACGCUGAGGCAGCGUCCCACAUGCCACAACUAGAAGAACCCACAACGAAGAAUACACAACUAUGUACCUGGGGGCUUUGGGGAGAAAAAGGAAAAAAAUAAAAUCUUUAAAAAAAAAAAAAUCCAAUUGGGAUUUUGAUAAAGAUUGUGUUGAAUAUACAGAUCAACUUGGAGAAUAUUGUCAUCUUAACAAUAUCAACCCUUCCAAUCUAUGACCAUGGCAUGCCCUUUUAUCUAUUUAGAUAAUUUCUUUCAACAAUGUUGUACAGUUUUAGAUAUACAAGUUUUGUGCUUCUUUUCAUUAAAUUUAUCCCUAAAAAUGUUAUUCUUUUUCACAGUAUUGUAAAUAAAAGUAUUUUCUUAAUUU
ensembl:lncRNA